GAUGAACGCUGGCGGCGUGCCUAAUACAUGCAAGUCGAGCGAACGGACGAGAAGCUUGCUUCUCUGAUGUUAGCGGCGGACGGGUGAGUAACACGUGGAUAACCUACCUAUAAGACUGGGAUAACUUCGGGAAACCGGAGCUAAUACCGGAUGAUAUUUUGAACCGCAUGGUUCAAAAGUGAAAGACGGUCUUGCUGUCACUUAUAGAUGGAUCCGCGCUGCAUUAGCUAGUUGGUAAGGUAACGGCUUACCAAGGCAACGAUGCAUAGCCGACCUGAGAGGGUGAUCGGCCACACUGGAACUGAGACACGGUCCAGACUCCUACGGGAGGCAGCAGUAGGGAAUCUUCCGCAAUGGGCGGAAGCCUGACGGAGCAACGCCGCGUGAGUGAUGAAGGUCUUCGGAUCGUAAAACUCUGUUAUUAGGGAAGAACAUAUGUGUAAGUAACUGUGCACAUCUUGACGGUACCUAAUCAGAAAGCCACGGCUAACUACGUGCCAGCAGCCGCGGUAAUACGUAGGUGGCAAGCGUUAUCCGGAAUUAUUGGGCGUAAAGCGCGCGUAGGCGGUUUUUUAAGUCUGAUGUGAAAGCCCACGGCUCAACCGUGGAGGGUCAUUGGAAACUGGAAAACUUGAGUGCAGAAGAGGAGAGUGGAAUUCCAUGUGUAGCGGUGAAAUGCGCAGAGAUAUGGAGGAACACCAGUGGCGAAGGCGACUUUCUGGUCUGUAACUGACGCUGAUGUGCGAAAGCGUGGGGAUCAAACAGGAUUAGAUACCCUGGUAGUCCACGCCGUAAACGAUGAGUGCUAAGUGUUAGGGGGUUUCCGCCCCUUAGUGCUGCAGCUAACGCAUUAAGCACUCCGCCUGGGGAGUACGACCGCAAGGUUGAAACUCAAAGGAAUUGACGGGGACCCGCACAAGCGGUGGAGCAUGUGGUUUAAUUCGAAGCAACGCGAAGAACCUUACCAAAUCUUGACAUCCUUUGACAACUCUAGAGAUAGAGCCUUCCCCUUCGGGGGGGACAAAGUGACAGGUGGUGCAUGGUUGUCGUCAGCUCGUGUCGUGAGAUGUUGGGUUAAGUCCCGCAACGAGCGCAACCCUUAAGCUUAGUUGCCAUCAUUAAGUUGGGCACUCUAAGUUGACUGCCGGUGACAAACCGGAGGAAGGUGGGGAUGACGUCAAAUCAUCAUGCCCCUUAUGAUUUGGGCUACACACGUGCUACAAUGGACAAUACAAAGGGCAGCGAAACCGCGAGGUCAAGCAAAUCCCAUAAAGUUGUUCUCAGUUCGGAUUGUAGUCUGCAACUCGACUACAUGAAGCUGGAAUCGCUAGUAAUCGUAGAUCAGCAUGCUACGGUGAAUACGUUCCCGGGUCU
rnacentral:rRNA from 1 species